rnacentral:rRNA from 1 species
AACGAACGCUGGCGGCAGGCUUAACACAUGCAAGUCGAGCGCCCCGCCAGGGGAGCGGCAGACGGGUGAGUAACGCGUGGGAACGUACCUUUUGGUUCGGAACAACUCCGGGAAACUGGAGCUAAUACCGGAUAAGCCCUAACGGGGAAAGAUUUAUCGCCGAAAGAUCGGCCCGCGUCUGAUUAGCUAGUUGGUGAGGUAACGGCUCACCAAGGCGACGAUCAGUAGCUAGUCUGAGAGGAUGAUCAGCCACACUGGGACUGAGACACGGCCCAGACUCCUACGGGAGGCAGCAGUGGGGAAUAUUGGACAAUGGGCGCAAGCCUGAUCCAGCCAUGCCGCGUGAGUGAUGAAGGCCUUAGGGUUGUAAAGCUCUUUUGUCCGGGAAGAUAAUGACUGUACCGGAAGAAUAAGCCCCGGCUAACUUCGUG